UUUCCUCUUUGUUGGCUGCGUCCCAGCUUGUUUUUCUACAUUUGGGUCGUCCACCUUCACCUUCCUCCUCACCAACUUACAGAGCUGGAAAGCUUCCAACAGCAGGGUGGCUGACCAACACCACCCCUCUGAGCAGCACCUGAGUGGUCUGAGCGCCGCCCUGCCCUCCUUCUACUGUUUACCAUCCGGCUUAUCCUGUUUAUUUGACUCGAUUACAAAACAGACUCUGUGAGUGAUUUGUUUAAAGUGGCCCGUGUUCCCGUUUAUUCCACGAAUCGCAGCGUAUUUGGUCACCGAGGCCAGCAUGAUGACAUGUCAGUGCAAGGCUAACACAGCGCAGCUCUUGUAGUCACAACUCAGCACAAACUGCAGCCUUGUCAGUUUGCACAAGCCGUUCCUCACAUGUGUGUGGACUGAUUGGAGAUAACGACACUGCGUGAUCAAGAUGAAAGACUUGAAUUAAUGAGUGACUCACAGGACGUUGGUGCAUUUCUUCACUGUUUAACCAACACGUAUGCAGACCUUGCAGAUUGUGGAAUAUUUGUUUUCCUUCCCUUCCUCUGAGAGAGGAUAAAGUUCACAUUAUCCCCCCCCUUAAACCGCUCCAAAUAUUUUUGGAGCGCCUUCAAAAUAAGCAUGGAGCACUGGAAAAAUUCAAGGCAGCUGUUUUGUGCUUUCAAGGCUUAUCUUCCCUUGUAAAGGCAUCUCUGAGCUUCCAGCAAACACAGCAACCAGCUGUGGUCAAGCGGAGGCAAAAAGCAGCAGAUUGGAAAUCAGGGAAAUAUUUAUUCUGUCCCCCCCAAUAAAAAGCUUCUCCUCACCCGUUUGGGUGAGCAGAGAGAACUGUAUUUUCCACACACUAACUGUGCAGUAAUUCGCCUGGCAGCCAUGAGCUGGUGUGUUUCUGAGAGUCCUCUUGCCACUGAAGGAUUACAAGCUGCUCAAAGACUCUGAGAAGGUGACUGGCAGAGCUCCAUGGCUGCCGGGGAGGGAGAGCCAGCGCCACCACAACACCUGCUCCAUCUCCUUUCCCUCCUACCUCUGAGAGCAAUCUGCCCACCUGCUUCCAUGGUGAAACAGACACACCCUGCCCGCAGUUCCUCCCUCCUAGCCUGCAGCUAAAGUGGAGCUAGUCUGCACAGGAGCACAGAUGCAGGCAGAGCUCCAGCAUGCCUGGCCACCAUAUCCUGGGAGGGAGGGAUCAACGGAGCUGUGGGUCUUUUGUGUAGCUGCCACCACUAAAAAAACACGCCCCGCAAGGUUGUGUUUGCUCUCCUUUUUUCCCCCCCACCUGUCAUCAGUGCUUUCUUUCAUCUGUAGGGUGCAGACCAUUCCUUGAGGCAGCCAAGACAUUAUCUCAGUGGAGAGAAGGAGGCAAAAACGACAGAGGUGAACCUUUUCGAGGUUGGAGCAUGGUGUACAAAAAGAGGGUUCAGCCGAGGAGCUCUGGCUACUCGCUGAAGAACACCCCCGUACUUGUUGUUGUGAUUGUUGUUUUAAUGAUUAUAUUGUGUAUUUAUCUGGAGAUGAUGAUGACAUUCCCUUGGUGACUGUUAUUAAAAUGCUCUGUGUUGUGGCUGAUCUGAUAUUACGAAUAAAUUAGUGAGAUUUAGUG